UACGUAGGAUCCGAGCGUUAUCCGGAUUUAUUGGGUUUAAAGGGAGCGUAGGUGGAUUGUUAAGUCAGUUGUGAAAGUUUGCGGCUCAACCGUAAAAUUGCAGUUGAAACUGGCAGUCUUGAGUACAGUAGAGGUGGGCGGAAUUCGUGGUGUAGCGGUGAAAUGCUUAGAUAUCACGAAGAACUCCGAUUGCGAAGGCAGCUCACUGGACUGCAACUGACACUGAGGCUCGAAAGUGUGGGUAUCAAACAGG
rnacentral:rRNA from 1 species